UAUAGCUCAGUGAUAGAGCACUUGCUUGGUAUGCAUAAGACUGUGAGUGAAAUCCUCAUUA
rnacentral:tRNA from 1 species